rnacentral:rRNA from 2 species
UACGAAGGGGGCUAGCGUUGCUCGGAAUUACUGGGCGUAAAGCGCACGUAGGCGGCUUCUUAAGUCGGUGGUGAAAUCCUGGAGCUCAACUCCAGAACUGCCUUCGAUACUGGGAAGCUCGAGUCCGGGAGAGGUGAGUGGAACUGCGAGUGUAGAGGUGAAAUUCGUAGAUAUUCGCAAGAACACCAGUGGCGAAGGCGGCUCACUGGCCCGGUACUGACGCUGAGGUGCGAAAGCGUGGGGAGCAAACAGG